GAGCCGGUGGGCGAGCCCGGCAUGCCGGCGCUGGACGCGUGCGCGCUCUACGCCAAGCGGCUGGCGCGCGACGGCGACGUCUUCAUGUACAGAGGGGACACACCCUUCUGCAUCAAGGGGUGCCGGCACGAGCAGAUGCAGCUCGACGUUGUCUCUGUCUGCAAAAGGGUCUCGGCGGGAGCAGAGUCCGGGCAUGCACACCACGGCCACGGGGUGUCCGUCUUGAGCUAA
rnacentral:rRNA from 1 species